rnacentral:rRNA from 1 species
UCCUACGGGAGGCAGCAGUGAGGAAUAUUGGUCAAUGGUCGGAAGACUGAACCAGCCAAGUAGCGUGAAGGAUGAAGGUUCUAUGGAUUGUAAACUUCUUUUAUACGGGAAUAAAACCACCUACGUGUAGGUGCUUGUAUGUACCGUAUGAAUAAGCAUCGGCUAACUCCGUGCCAGCAGCCGCGGUA